UACGUAGGGUGCAAGCGUUGCCCGGAUUUAUUGGGCGUAAAGGGCGCGUAGGCGGCUCUGCACGUCCGUUGUGAAAUCGCCCGGCUCAACUGGGCGGGGUCAGCGGAUACGGCAGAGCUUGAGCAAGCUAGGGGGCAAUGGAAUUCCCGGUGUAGUGGUGGAAUGCGUAGAGAUCGGGAGGAACACCAGUGGCGAAGGCGGCUACCUGGACCAGCACUGACACUCAGGCACGAAAGCGUGGGGAGCAAACAGG
rnacentral:rRNA from 1 species